CAAUAGCGUAUAUUUAAGUUGCUGCAGUUAAAAAGCUCGUAGUUGGAUUUCGGGUGGGAAUGGCCGGUCCGCCGUUAGGUGUGCACUGAUUGGUCUCAGCUUCCUGGUGAGGAGGUGUGCUUCACGGCCACUUAGUCACCGUGGUUACUUUGAAAAAAUUAGAGUGUUCAAAGCGGGCUUACGCUUGAAUAUUUCAGCAUGGAAUAACACUAUAGGACUCCUGUCCUAUUUCGUUGGUCUCGGGACGGGAGUAAUGAUUAAGAGGAACAGUUGGGGGCAUUCGUAUUUCAUUGUCAGAGGUGAAAUUCUUGGAUUUAUGAAAGACGAACUUCUGCGAAAGCAUUUGCCAAGGAUGUUUUCAUUAA
rnacentral:rRNA from 1 species